GAUGAACGCUGGCGGCGUGCCUAAUACAUGCAAGUCGAGCGAACAGACGAGGAGCUUGCUCCUCUGACGUUAGCGGCGGACGGGUGAGUAAAACGUGGAUAACCUCCCUUUAAAACUGGGAUAACUUCGGGAAACCGGAGCUAAUACCGGAUAAUAUAUUGAACCGCAUGGUUCAAUAGUGAAAGACGGUUUUGCUGUCCCUUAUAGAUGGAUCCGCGCCGCUUUAGCUAGUUGGUAAGGUAACGGCUUACCAAGGCGACGAUGCGUAGCCGACCUGAGAGGGUGAUCGGCCACACUGGAACUGAGACACGGUCCAGACUCCUACGGGAGGCAGCAGUAGGGAAUCUUCCGCAAUGGGCGAAAGCCUGACGGAGCAACGCCGCGUGAGUGAUGAAGGUCUUCGGAUCGUAAAACUCUGUUAUUAGGGAAGAACAAAUGUGUAAGUAACUAUGCACGUCUUGACGGUACCUAAUCAGAAAGCCACGGCUAACUACGUG
rnacentral:rRNA from 1 species